rnacentral:rRNA from 1 species
CCUACGGGAGGCAGCAGUGAGGAAUAUUGGUCAAUGGGCGCGAGCCUGAACCAGCCAAGUAGCGUGAAGGAUGACUGCCCUACGGGUUGUAAACUUCUUUUAUAAAGGAAUAAAGUGAGGCACGUGUGCCUUUUUGUAUGUACUUUAUGAAUAAGGAUCGGCUAACUCCGUGCCAGCAGCCGCGGUAAUACGGAGGAUCCGAGCGUUAUCCGGUUGUUUUGGGUUUAAAGGGGGCGUAGAUGGGUUGUUAAGUCAGUUGUGAAAGGUUGCGGCUCAACCGUGAAAUUGCAAUUGAUACUGGCAGUCUUGAGUACAGUUGAGGUAGGCGGAAUUCGUGGUGUAGCGGUGAAAUGCUUAGAUAUCACGAAGAACACCAGUGGCGAAGGCGGCUUACUGGACUGCCACUGACGUUGAUGCACGAAAGUGUGGGGAGCAAACAGGAUUAGAUACCCGGGUAGUC